rnacentral:rRNA from 1 species
GAUGAACGCUGGCGGCGUGGUUAAGGCAUGCAAGUCGAACGACCCUUUCGAGGGGAGUGGCAAACGGGGUAGUAACAGGUAGGAACGUACCCAGAAGUCAGGAAUAACUACAGGAAACUGUAGCUAAUACCUGAUAGUCCCUACGGGGUAAAGCUCCGGCGCUUCUGGAUCGGCCUGCUUCGCAUCAGCUAGUUGGUACGGUAAUGGCGUACCAAGGCUAUGACGCGUAGGGGAGGUGAGAGCCUGACCCCCACCAUUGGAACUGCGACACUGUCCAAACACCUACGGGUGGCUGCAGUCGAGAAUCUUCCACAAUGCACGAAAGUGUGAUGGAGCGACGCCGCGUGAUUGAUGAAGCUCUUCGGAGUGUAAAAGUCUUUUAUAGGGGAGGAAAUUUAUUGACGUUACCCUAUGAAUAAGGGGCUGCUAAGUCCG